ensembl:lncRNA
UUAAAAUCAAUUCUUACUAUUUUUCAUGGGUUUUGUUUAGAAAGUGACUUGCAGGGGAAGGAGAGGGAGACCUGGGAAAACCACUGUUGUUUUUUUUUUUUAAUUUCCAAAACAUGUCAGAUUUAUGGUAAAUAUUUACAAGGAAAUAGCUUGUCUGAGUGCACGGGAACUGUUGAGUCACACCCUGAACCACUGAUUGAUCACCUGGGUAAAGGACCAGGUCAGCCCUGGGAGCACAAGUGAAGGCAAUUCACAUGUGUGACCGGAAGGAGUGGAGCCUGGCUGCACCUCUCUUAGACCCUAAGUAAGGGCUGACUGCUACUGGGGAAGGAUCUCUUUCUGGAGAUUGCUCCCUGGUGGUGCUUUCCCCUGUGAACCUGGAAUCUUCUGAUACAGGUUUGACACCAAAGCAAGACCUGAUGCCACAGGGAUCAUCAGAAUCUAGUAAACAGAAAUAUCUAAGAAGAGCAGAUGCACAUUGUGUCUUCUAGGCAUCCUCUCAGUGGCAUGGUUGAAAUCCAGAUUCUGAUCACACAAGAUUCAGCCCAGAAGGGGAACUGCAUCCUGGGUUGCGUACCAGAAGGUCAAGGGAGGUGAUUCUGCUCCUCUACUCUGCUUUCAUGAGACUCCACCUGGACUACUGCGUCAAGUUCUGGAGCCUCCAAUGUAAGAAGGACAUUGAGCUGUUGGAGCAGGUCCAGAGGAGGGAUACAAAUAUGAUCAGAAGGCUGGAGCACCUCCCCUGCAAGAACAGGCUGAGAGAGCUGGGGGUCUUCAGCCUGGAGAAGAGAAGGCUCCAUGCAGACCUUUUAGCAGCCUUCCAGUACCUGAAAGGGGCUUACAGGAAAGCUGGGGAGGAACUGUUUAUAAGAACAGGUAGCAACAGAAAAAGAGGAAAUGGUUUGAAACUGGAAGAGGUUAGAUUUAUAAAUAGAUAUCAGGAAGAAAUUAUUUACUGUGAGGAUGGUGAGACACUGGAACAAGUUGCCCAGGAGGUUGUGAAUGCCCCCUCCCUGGAAGCAUUCAAGGCCAGGCUGGAUGGGGCUUUGAGCAACCUGGUCUAGUGGGAGGUAUCCAUGCCUAUAGCAGGUGGGUUGGAACUAGAUGAUCUUAAAGGUCCCUUCCAACCCAAACCAUUCUAUGAUUCCAUGAUUCUAACAAAGAAAGGAAUAUAUUUUCUUUCAUCAUCCUUCUUGCUCUUUUUUUCUCUUUUGAACUAGAUUCCCAAUGUAGGCCAGAGGAAACUUUAUUUAUAUCCCUGCAAUUCAAGGCCCACAAACCAAUUCAUCAUGUUCCUGUUUUAUCUCAUCUGCUGUAAAG